CCUGCCUCUGUGGAGUCUUUCCUGCAAAUCUAGAUCUUUGGAUAUAGAUGGGUUUCCACUCUCUUGCACAGUUUCUCCUGGCACCUGUUCUUGUGUUUGCACUGUUGUGGCAGAGAAGAGUUGCCUGAAGCCUCCACGCAGAGAUAGUUUGCUUUAUGCCAAAUGCUGGCCAAGGAUAAUAGCUGACAGACCAAGAUUUGUAAUGAAGGGUGUGCAUGUUUCCGACUUCCCCUGGCUGUAAGACUUAGUGAAAUUUGUGCAAUUUUGUUUCAAGAACAGUUAAAAGGAGACCAGAUCCUAUAUUCCAUGUGCUUCGCCAGUUGUCAGAAGUCAAUCCAUAAUCAAACCCUUCAGGAGCAUCUCUGGAAGAUACUGCUCUUUGAGGUGGCUGCCAGCUACUCUUAUUCUCAGACCAAAGCAAAGAAAGCCACGAGUCCUUAUUGUUUUGUAAUAUUGCUUUUGUUUGGAGGUGUUUUUACCCUCUCCCCCCAACCUUCAAACUAAACAUCAACACAACAGUGGAAUAACACUCAGAUUUUGAGUUUCAGAUCUGAGUUCAUCAAGCUGCUGCUCUUCAGUCAGCAAGUGUGUCUGUGGUAUAAAUGAGGGAGAGUGCCCCUUUUGUAGUCUCUGCUCCACCAUCUCACUGCACUUGUGAGAGCAGGAAGAAGAAUGUGAUAUCCGGGCAGUCUGAGUGCCCCAGCUUUCUGGCCAAAAGCAAAAUUAGAACUGCCUUUAAAUUCACUGACUGUUUUCUUUCGAGAGUGUACAUGGGGCAACUGAAGCAGUAUUUUUCUCACCAAGGCAAAGACUAAUUCUGUAAGGGAUCAAGUCUGCUUAUACUAGAAGCAAAACCGCUCUCCCUCAGCUUUCCCUGUGAUUUAAACUUUCUUGUUGCUUCGGGCUGCCGGAAGAAAGCUCUGUCUGAGGGUGAGAAUGAAUGCGACCGUCCUGUCCCCUGCCAGGCUGCACUUGCUCCAUCCGCCAUCCCCGCAACCUCUCCCAUGCUGCUAAGGUCCAUGUCAGACAGAGCCCCCUGUCAUGUUCCCCUUUCACUCGCUGCGUUCUUCUGAGAGCUGUCACCACCCCCUGGAAGCACAUCUUCAGUGUAGACACAAGGCUACUACCAGCCCCGGCGGCAGGCUGGGAAUGUGAAAGUAAAAUUUAUGUCUAGUGGAACUCGGUCUGCAAUGAGUGUCCUCAAAUUUCAGGUUACUGCGAGAGUGACUGUGCUUGCGCUGUGGAAAAUGAGUCUGGCUGAGGGCAAGCAUGAAAGCUGCAAGCAGUGAUCCAUCCUCAUCUCACCGAGACCUCGGCGCACUCUGAGGUGUUUAAGUAACAGUCUUUGCAAGAUGGUUCCUUAAGUGCAAAGUGGCAGGGCUGUCGCUUCCAGUAUAAUUUGAGUUGCUUUGCCUUGGUCAGUUAGCAAUUGCAAACAUGUUAAUAUAUUCCUUUUAUCAUAUUAAAAGGAAUUUGAAAUGUAGGAUUUCAAGCAUGCAAGAGAUGAUUUGUAUCUGUGUUUCUGAUCUCUGGUACGUUUUCUCUCUCUGUCCUUAAUUUCAUUGCCACAUGGUAUUUAUUUUUAUUUUUUUCACGAGCAGCUGGUAGGGUGGAUGGUGAAUAAAUGAACGCACAGUGUUUGUUCACUUAGUAAGCAAGGAAUUUGCAGGAAAAGAAAAGAUGGUCUGGUCCUUAGGGUGAUGCCAGCGGUUUGCUCUGAUAGGAG